rnacentral:rRNA from 1 species
UACAGAGACUGCAAGCGUUAUUCGGAUUCACUGGGCGUAAAGGGUGCGCAGGCGGUUGGGUGUGUCAGAUGUGAAAUCCCGAGGCUCAACCUCGGAACUGCGUCUGAAACUACUCGACUAGAGUACUGGAGAGGGUAACGGAAUUCACGGUGUAGCAGUGAAAUGCGUAGAUAUCGUGAGGAACACCUGAGGCGAAGGCGGGCUACUGGGCUGAUACUGACGCUGAUGCGCGAAAGCCAGGGGAGCAAACGGG